rnacentral:rRNA from 1 species
ACUUUGCAAUGUGCGAAAGCACGACAAGGUUAAUCCGAGUGGUUUCUGCUAAAGGAACCUUUUGUUAGUCAUAGAACCACUAAUGAAUAAGGGGUGGGCAAGUUCUGGUGUCAGCCGCCGCGGUAAAACCAGCACCUCAAGUGGUCAGGAUGAUUAUUGGGCCUAAAGCAUCCGUAGCCGGCUCUGUAAGUUUUCGGUUAAAUCUGUACGCUCAACGUACAGGCUGCCGGGAAUACUGCAGAGCUAGGGAGUGGGAGAGGUAGACGGUACUCGGUAGGAAGGGGUAAAAUCCUUUGAUCUAUUGAUGACCACCUGUGGCGAAGGCGGUCUACCAGAACACGUCCGACGGUGAGGGAUGAAAGCUGGGGGAGCAAACCGGGAUUA